rnacentral:lncRNA from 1 species
CAGGUUUAAUGCGGAGGACGGCUACGACGGCAAAACUGCGUUCUUGCCACGUGGAGAGGCGGAAACGGUGCCGUUCGGGUCUGAGAAGUUCUCGGAGAUCUUGAACACGUUCUCGGUGAAACCUGGCUCGGGAGAAGCAGAGAUGAUGAAGAAAACGAUUGAGGAGUGUGAAGCGAAAAGAGUCGGUGGAGAGGAGAAGUAUUGUGCUACGUCUUUGGAGUCGAUGGUGGACUUCAGCGUUUCUAAACUUGGCAAAGAUCACGUUCGUGCUGUCUCCACUGAGGUACCAAAAAAAAAAACAUACGCUAAUCUAUUUUUUUCGGUAUGGCUUGAACAUAGCCAAAUGAAAUAGUUUAAAAUAGUUUUGAGUUAAUAUAUGAAAAUAAGCCUUAAACCCCUUACUCAAUUAUUUAGGCUCUCCCAAAACAAUCGACUAUGUUUGAUUAGACAAAAAAAAAAAAAUAAAAUAAAUAAAAUAUUUGCAACUAGGUUUGGUUAUGCUCGUUGUUUUUUAGUCUUCACUUAUAUUUUCUUUAUAUUUAGUUUGAAUUCGGUUCGGUUUCAGCUAAUAAUAAGAAACAUAUAAAUUGUUUAUACUCAAAACUAGUUGAAAUUGGGGGUUAGGUUUAGUUUAUUUGGUUUGAAAAUAAGAAAGGACAUUUGCGUUUGGUUCGGUCUAGUGUGUCUAAUAUUCUGUCAACGCCUAAUGUGUUAUGUCUAAUAUUCUGGUUGACAUGUAACCUUGGCUUCAACAGGUGGCUGAGAAGAAUGCACCGAUGCAAAAGUACAGAAUCGCGGCGGCUGGGGUAAAGAAGUUGUCAGACGACAAGUCGGUGGUGUGUCACAAACAGAAGUACCCAUUCGCUGUGUUCUACUGCCACAAGGCGAUGAUGACGAGCGUUUACGCGGUUCCCCUCGAAGGAGAGAACGGGUUGCGUGCUAAAGCGGUUGCGGUAUGUCACAAGAACACCUCGGCGUGGAACCCAAACCACUUGGCCUUUAAAGUCCUUAAGGUGAAGCCUGGGAGUGUUCCGGUCUGCCAUUUCCUCCCUGAAACCCAUGUUGUUUGGUUCAGCUACUAGAUAUGCUUUUCUAUAUUUUGUAAUAAUAUAUAAGAAGAUCUAUAUUCUGGGAUGUUUUGUAUGUAUACAUAUAUAUAGUAAUGUGUGGUUUUCAUAUAAUCAAUGACCGAAGGCAUCUUAUAUGUUUUGCUUUACGGAGUCUUCUGUGACCUACUUGCUUCUUGUUGUUUAGCAAGAACUAGGUUAAGACCCGCGCCUUGCGCGGAAUGAAUAUUAAAUAUAAAUUAUUUUUAAGUAUUAUAUAUUUUUUACAUAUUAUGAAAUAAUAAAUAUAUAUUGAAUAAUUAAAAAUUUAGUAACUAUACCGUAUAUAAUUAAAUUGGUACAAAUACUUAAAUAAAUUUUAUUAAUCGAGACAAACACUUUUUCUAUUUUAUAUAUGCUAUAAAAUUAAGUUUACAUGAUAUUAACAUAGAUAUAUAGUACAUUUUUAAUAGUGACAUCUGUUUAAAAAAUAUUUUAUACUCAUAUUAUUUUGAUAGUUUGUAUUUCUUUAUAACAAAAAAAAUAAAUCAAUGAUAACAAUAAAAAAUUUGUGGGAUGUUUAAUAGUUUUAGUAAUUUAUAAUUUUAUAAACAUUCAAUGCAAAAUCUAAAAUCUAAAUAUUAAGUUUUCAAUAAUUGUUCAAAAUGUUUAUCAAAAAGAUUUAAAGCAAAUUCGAAAUUAAUUUAGUUAUCCUCAACUAUUUUCAAAUACUUUUAAUAGAAUUUUAAAUUAAAAAUAUAUAUUUAGUGAUGUUAUAUGUAUAUAUAAUUAAUAUUUUUAUAUAUUAAGGUACCCGUUCGGUUCUCGGUUCGGUUCCGGUUCGGUUCGGUUAUUUCGGAUAUAAAAAUAUAGGAACCGUUCGGUAUUUGAGGGUAUUGGUACGGUUCCGGUUUCGGGUAUUUCGGUUCGGUUCCGGUUUGGUUCUUCGGUUCCGGUUAUUUUGCCCAGACCUAGUUUUUUGGUUGUUUGGAAUUAAAAUAUCUUAUGGGUUUUCUAAAUCAAUAUAAUUGAUUUGACUAAAGCUAUCUUGGAUAACAAAAAGAAGGAUUGCAAGUUUAAUAACUUCUCCUUUAGACUUUAAUUUCAACUAAAUUAUAAUCAGUCUUUUAUCUAUAUCAUCUUAGAUAUAAACGUAAGGGUUUAUUAGAAUAAAUAAACAGUUUCAACACUAUUUAAUAUGUGAUUUAAUAAACAAAAGAACACGUAGGAGUUUUAGGAUUUAAAGAGAUUGGAGACAAUAGUUAAUGAAUAUGAAAAGAAUACGAAGCAGAUGAAGAAAAAUGAUUCGAGCAAAUUAGUGGCAACACAUAGCUAAGCGAGAUAAAAAUAUCAAUAAAAAAAUGAAAGAAGAAUGAACAGAGUUAAGUUAUUACACAAGCCAAAACUAAGACAAAUCAAACGACAGAACGUGAAAACAAAUGUAAACAAGACAAGUGGAGAGGGUAAAGAUAAAAUGUAUUGAAAAACUGAAUGCUAGAUUAGUAAGUAAGAGGUAAAAAAAAUUAAAAUGCAAAAACUCCGUGCCUUGACGCGGAUAACGAUCCGUAGUGAAAUGAAAAAAAGAGAGGAUAAGAACUCUUGCUGCGCAUGAUGUUGCCUUUUUCAUGUACGUUUUAUGUACAUCACUAACUAAUAUAAGUAUGUGUUACUCUACUUUUGUUGGGGUGAGAGUUUCUACAAAAUUAUUUGUAAAAUUUGUAUGAUCUUGAAUCAAUAACAUUAAAUACAUCGAUGUACACCCAUUCUCCAACCAUUGAUAAUAAAAUAAGUCGAACACUAAUAAUCAAAACGAACGUGUUGGUAAGGUAUAAAUGAGUUAGUUGUUCGUUUUAAUUUUCUCUUUGUCUGAAAAGUCCACACGCAAGUUGAAGUUACGACUACGAUAUACACACUCUAUAAAGGUUUGGGUUUGAAUCCUUUAUUGAUCGAAGUGAACAAAUCCAUGCCCACAUGACACCGAAGAACCGUCGUAACAUGCCGGUGACCAACCUUCAUUAAUGCCUCUCUAACUUUGGAAUAAUUAUUUGGUUUUGAAAAGGAAAUUACCAUAUCUCUUAAGGAUUUUUUUAUCAUAGAACAUACUUUUACGUGCAGAUUUUUUAUCUAUCUCAUUAUCGAUUUAUUUUCUUGAGUGGUCAAAGACUCGAAGUCACCUACUGGAUAGUGCCAGUCUUGAAAUUUUCGGGUUGAAUACAAAACUAAAUAUAUAGGUCCUCAAAACAUUCCCAACUCAUUAUUAUUUUCAACUCUAUAAUAAUAUUGAGAAGUAAAAUUGCUCCAACACACUUCUAUUUUUCCUUUAAAAUAAAUAUUGCUAUUUUUCUAUUUAUAGAAGAAGAAAUAACAUUUUUCUAUUUUUACUAGCUCUAUAUUUAGAUAUUGAUAUUUUAGAAAAAUAAAUUAGAACAUAUCUCAUCUCUAUUAUAGAGUUCUUCUAUAUUAGAGGUAAAGAUAACAAAAUACAUUGGAGAUAGUCUGAGUGAUAUAUUGAAAUUGAAGUUUACAAUUAAAAAUUUACAAUAUCCCUAAAACUUAUAAAAGUAUCAAUUCUGAAACUAUCUUUCUAUUUCAUUUUAUGUAAAAGAAAGAAAAAAAUACUCAAGCAUUUAUAAUGAUAUUUGUUUGAAAUAGGUUUAAGUAAAACUCAUUUUCCUUUCUUGUGCUAAUAACAAAAAAAAAUAUAAACCUAAAAACUAUAUAAAUUGUAUGCCGCCCCAUACCAAUGUAUCUUAGGCACGUGUUCAAGGUCGGGCCUGCUGCUGGAGUAAAUGGACAUGCACCAAGGAAGAAAAUAUCAAGGUCUCCAGGAAUACAGAGAAAAUACUUACACAAUAUUCAACGCAUAAGUAAGAUAGUGAACAACAAAAUAAUAAGGCAAUCACAAAGGAUUGUGUGGUUGCAAACGAGUGUGUUUGUGAUAUAAGUGUUUAUCCUGAUAAAAUCAUAUAUAUUUUUCUGGAAAAUGGAGAGGCCCUAUUGAUUCAUAUUUUAUAAGAGAGUAUCCAUUCAGAUACCAAAUAUUUGAAUGAUGUGGUGUUUGGAUAAUCCACAUGUGGGCGUUUCGCGUGAACCACACUAAAUAGGUUCGGCUAGUUAGACUUCCUUCAAGACACUAUCAGAAUAUCCCCAGCGAGUAGGUUGACAUGGUCGCACAAUAAUACCUUGACAGCCCAAAUUAAGGACCUACGUGAUAGAAGACGACGUCGUAUGUAACAUAACACACAGCAAAAAAAAUACAGGUGAAGUUAAUUAAAAACACUUGUCCACACAUGGGAACAAGAACAGUUAAGGAGUUGAAGGCAACUGGUGGUUAGGGAGCUAGUAUGCGACUUAAUUUAACCGGCUUAAAUAGAUUGGUAAGUGUUAGCCGUCUAUAUCCAUACUUUAAUAUACUUCAACCUCAGAUCUUCUACUAAAACCCUUGCAUUAUAAAUUCUACGUACACUCCAACUUCUUCUCCUCAAAUUCAUCAAAAAUACAUUUCUAUUCUAACUCCCACAGAAAUGGCGAUUCGUCUUUCGUUGAUAUGUCUUCUUGUUUCAGUCACGGCCAUUGCGGCUGAUUUAACACCGGAGCGUUAUUGGAUCUCUGCCUUACCAAACACUCCCAUACCAAACUCUCUUCGCCAUCUUUUUACGUCAGGUUGAAAUUCUUUUUCACUUUAACAUGCCAUAUUUGUUUCCUUCUAGUUUUGUGAAACACUGUUUAUUUCUAAUUUCUCUACGAUCUGCUUAUGUAUAUAUAUUAUGAUUUUCUAUAGUUUAAAAUGUUUUUCCAAGUUUUAUAUUUACGGAGAUAUAAGAAAAGGAAAAUGAUAGACCUAAAUGCAAAGAAAAAUAUGGUUGAGUCCUUAUUACAAUUCCUAUAUAUUAUACUACUAUUUAUAUAUAUUAUAUAACAUGUAUUUGAAGUUGUGUCACAAGCUGAUUGGUUACACAAUCGCUAGUAAUUUUUGGAAGUGUACGUUAAUAGCCAAUUGAUGUCUCCUUACCAAAUUAUUUCAUUGUUGAAGAUUUUAGCGACGAGAAAAGCACCAACGUCCAAGUAGGGAAAGGAGGCGUGAACGUUUACACCGGAAAAGGUAAGCAUGGCGGAGGAACCGCCGUGAACGUUGGAAAGGGAGGUGUACAUGUGGACACCGGCAAGGGUAAGGGAACACACGUGAGCGUUAGCGGUGGAAAAGGUCACGGCGGAGGCGUCGGCGUCCACACCGGGAAGCCAGGAAAGAGAACCGACGUAGGAGUUGGCAAAGGUGGCGUUAUAGUGCACACGCGCCACAAGGGAAAGCCGGUCUACGUCGGCGUGAAACCAGGACAUAACCCUUUUGUGUAUAACUAUGCAGCGAGCGAGACUCAGCUCCACGACGAUCCCAAAGCGGCUCUCUUCUUCUUGGAGAAAGACAUGGUUCCCGGAAAAGCUAUGAACCUCAGGUUUAAUGCGGAGGACGGCUACGACGGCAAAACUGCGUUCUUGCCGCGCGGAGAGGCGGAAACGGUGCCGUUCGGGUCUGAGAAGUUCUCGGAGAUCUUGAACACGUUCUCGGUGAAAC